ensembl:lncRNA
CUCCUUAGAGUAGUAAACUUCUCUGCUGCUUUAGUUUGUCAAUUAUAAAAAUAUUUUUACAGCAUUACUGUGAGGAUAAACAAAUUAUACAAAUAAAAAAAUUAGAACAAAGCCUGUUGUAGAACAAUUACUCAAUAAAUGAUAGUUUUUGCUGUCAUUAUUCCUCCUCAUCUUGUUCCUUCUCCUCAUGAGCAAGCUGGAGACUCAUUCCCUAAUCUUAAGAAUUGGAAGAGUCUACGAUGCCUAGGAUCAGGCUUGAGACCCAAGAAAAACUGAUGUUUCAGGUUGGAGUUGAAGGUAAGAUAAGACCAGCAUCAAAACUGAAGGCAGUCAAGGAGGAGGAAUUCCUUCUUACUUAUUGGAAGGUCAGUCAUUUUUGUUUUAUUUAGACCUUGAACUGUUUAGAUCAGGUCCACUGACAUUAGGGAGGGCAAUGUGCUUUACUCAGUUUAAUUCAUUCAUUAAAAUGUUAAUUUCAUUGAAAACCCCCCUCACAGAAACAUCUAGAAUAAAAUGUGUUUAGGUAUCUACGCAUCACCUGGCCUAGUCAAGUUGUCAUAGAAACUUAAUGUACCAGUCAGCCCUCACAUCACUGGGACAAAAUACCUGACAAGCACAAUUUAAAGGGGGAGAAGUUUAUUUGGCUCAUCCUUUCAGAGGAUUCAGUCCAUAGUUGGCUGGCUCCAAGGUAGAAAUGGCAUGGCAGAAGGGCAGGAAGGAUAAAAGUCACUCAAACCAUGGAGCUUAGAAGUAGAGAGAGCAGGAAAAGCAAGAGUGAGAUCAAGAGACCCUCCAAAUGGACAUUUCAAUGACCCACCUCCUCCAGCCUGGCUCCAAGUGCUAUCAACACAAUUCAUUCUAAACUCACCAAUGGAUUAAUCCACUAAUGACUAUAGUGCUCGCAUGGUCCAGUCACCUUCUGGAAGCCCCACCUCUGAACACGUGAAAAUUUGGAGAGACAUUUUAGAUCCAUUAUAAUGGUACUGGUAUAACAGUUUUUCCAGAUUGCGUAUGCAUGUGCUUUUGUGGACAGAAUGUCCAGGUUGCAGAAACCAGAAGACUCUGAGUAAGUUGUGUUUAUGUAAUAAUUUCUAAAAAUGGUACAAAAUGGGAGCAUUGAAAGAUGUUGUUUUCUAGGCUGGCAAAUAGAGUCAAGUCUUAGUUCAUAAAGUUAUAGAUAGGUCAAGGCAACUAGUUAUCUAUGGACCUUCUGUACAUAAUCACAUAUUAUGUGGGCCUCAUUUAUUUCAAAUUUAUAUAGGUGCUUUGGUUGUGCACAAAAGAAGCAUGAAUAAAUCAUCUGAGUUUAAGUUAUUCAGUUAUUACAAUCAAUUUCCACAUGGAGAAACUUUUUUAUUUCCUUUUUAACUUUCAUUACACAUAAUUAGCAACCAUAACAUUCAUUGUAGGGAAUUGGUACAUGCACAUUACACAUUUCAAUUCUUGUUUCCUCUUUCCCUCCACUCCCUCUUUCAGGUAAAAUAAAAAUUUUAAUGUAAAAAUGUUUGCCAUUAUUUGGUAGUUUAAUUUUGAUUUAUUUUUACUAUAUCUCAG